rnacentral:ncRNA from 1 species
CAAGCAAUAGAUAGCAAAGAUAGACCCUUGUACCUUUAGCAUCAUGAUUUAGCAAGAACAACCAAGCAAAAUGAACUUAAGCUUGCCACCCCGAAACCCAAGCGAGCUACUUGCAAGCAGCUAUCCAUGAGCAAACCCGUCUCUGUGACAAAAGAGUGGGAUGACUUGCCAGUAGAAGUGAAAAGCCAACCGAGCUGGGUGAUAGCUGGUUGCCUGUGAAAUGAAUCUUAGUUCCCUCUUAAUUUCCCUCCACGGACCAAUCAUAACCCUCACGAAGAUAAUAAAGAGUAAUUUAAAGGGGGUACAGCCCCUUUAAAAUAAGGAUACAACCUCAAACAGAGGAUAACUCUU